rnacentral:rRNA from 1 species
AGGAUGAACGCUGGCGGCGUGCCUAAGACAUGCAAGUCGAGUGGGUUUAGACCCACGGCGAACGGGUGAGUAAUACCUAGGAACUUUCUUUAAGUGGAGCAUAACCCAUAGAAAUGUGGGACAAUUCUCCAUGUGAUAGUAAUAUCAAAGCAGCAAUGCGCUUAAAGUGAGGCCUGGGCACCAUCAGCUAGUUGGUAAGGUAAUGGCUUACCAAGGCUAUGACGGUUAGGGGUCCCGAGACGGGAUAACCCCCACACUGGAACUGCGACACGGUCCAGACUCCUACGGGAGGCAGCAGUUUGGAAUUUUGGACAAUGGGCGAAAGCCUGAUCCAGCGACGCCGCGUGGACGAUGAAGGCCUUCGGGUCGUAAAGUCCUUUUGCUCGGGAACAAUAAUUGAGCGUACCGAGAGAAUAAGAGGUUGCUAACUCUGCGCCAGCAGCCGC